AGCUGAGAAGGCUGUGUCCACCUUAAGUGAUGAGAGGAACUGGAGAACUGGGAUGAGAGUGAUACUUCUGGCUAAACGGAGUGUAAUGGGAUCAGGAAAGCAUAUCCAAUCUUCAAGGGAAAAUCAUGGAACAGUUUCCAAAAAGAACGAGGGCCAGUCUUCAAAAGAAGUACAAAAGUUAGUAUCAGAAAAAAAAGGCUGGUGCUGACUCAGGAGAGGUUGCUUUGGAUAAGGAAAACGUGAACUAUGACGUUAGCCAGGAGGAAGUGCGCCAACACCAAAAGACAAAUGCUAACAGUGGUCAGAAAGGCCGAUACAGAAGCCAAGGAAAAGGUCUGAGCGGACAAGGGAAUGUCUCGUCUCCUACUAUUUCUGGUUCGGUCUCUGUAAACAAGCCUAUUUCUGGACCGAGAAUGCCAGAUGGAACAAGGGGCUUUGUAAUAGGGCGUGGUAGACCACUUCCACCUCCAAAAGCCGAAAAGGCUGAAGAAUAGAACUUUUUACAAUGAAGCCUGGUAAAGAUCUGUGUAUGAAAAUGACUUGUAUACUGGAAAGGCCCUCUAUUUUUUUAUGCAGCGUCUUUUCUGAAUUCACUGGCACAUCAGUUGGGGAUUUCAUGAUUGGUUGGUUGGUCUUUUACCGCUGCAUAUGUAUAUUUGUGACGCAGUGACACCUUGUCUGAUGAUUGCCAAAGUUUUGUGCUGA